rnacentral:rRNA from 1 species
UACGUAGGGGGCAAGCGUUGUCCGGAUUUAUUGGGCGUAAAGAGCGUGUAGGCGGUUUGGUAGGUCCGCUGUGAAAACUCGAGGCUCAACCUCGAGACGUCGGUUGAAACCAUCUGGCUAGAGUCCGGAAGAGGAGUGUGGAAUUCCCGGUGUAGCGGUGAAAUGCGCAGAUAUCAGGAGGAACACCGGUGGCGAAGGCGGUGGGCUGGGCCGGAACUGACGCUGAGGAGCGAAAGCGUGGGGAGCGAACAGG